GCCAAUUAAAGCUAGAGAAUUGAUUUGAUAGUAUACAGUCUUCACGUUUAAUGAUAGUCUAGAUACGACCGUGGAUAGGCUUACUAUAGAUGCUGACGAACAUCUACAGACAGACAGACAGCAGGACAUUCCUUCUCCUUCAGCUUAUUUAUUGUUCAGAUGGUUACAGUGCAAGUAAUAGUGGUUAGAGCUGCUACAUUACAUUGGUGUAAAUCUGAUGACUUUCCCCAAAUUCCCAGGUUUUCCAGAAAUCAUGGUUUGAAGAUUCCUGGAUUUUCUGCUUAUCAGAUAACAUGAAUCUCCCAAUCGGGAUUUCUGGAAAACCUGGGAAUUUGGGGAAAGUUACCGUAAAUUUGCAACCCUAAACAGCGGUACUAGUUACAGUGGAGACACAGGGCUCUGGAAAAUUCAGUCGCACACAAAUAAAGGUUACAAGCAUUUCGCUACACCCGCAAAAACAUCUGCUAAAUGUGUGUAUGUAACCAAUCAAAUUUGAUUUGAUUUGAAAUACCUUUUAGGGCAUAGAGCACAAUGAUAGAGGCCAGAAACAGGGUUGUAAGUAGAUUGGCCAGUAGAUUGGCCAGCGACGGGGUUGUAGUAGAUUGGCCAGUAGAUUGGCCAGCGACGGGGUUGUAGUAGAUUGGCCAGCGACGGGGUUGCAGUAGAUUGGCCAGCGACAGGGUUGCAGUAGCUUGGCUAGCGACAGGGUUGCAGUAGAUUGGCUAGCGACGGGGUUGCAGUAGAUUGGCUAGCGACGGGGUUGUAGUAGAUUGGCCAUCGACGGGGUUGUAGUAGAUUGCCAGUAGAUUGGCCAGUAGAUUGGCCAGCGACGGGGUUGUAGUAGAUUGGCUAGCGACAGGGUUGCAGUAGAUUGGCUAGCGACGGGGUUGCAGUAGAUUGGCUAGCGACGGGGUUGCAGUAGAUUGGCUAGCGACGGGGUUGCAGUAGAUUGGCUAGCGACGGGGUUGUAGUAGAUUGGCCAUCGACGGGGUUGUAGUAGAUUGGCCAUCGACGGGGUUGUAGUAGAUUGGCUAGCGACGUGGUUGUAGUAGAUUGGCCAGUAGAUUGGCUAGCGACGGGGUUGUAGUAGAUUGGCCAGUAGAUUGGCCAGCGACGGGGUUGCAGUAGAUUGGCCAGCGACGGGGUUGUAGUAGAUUGGCCAGCGACGGGGUUGCAGUAGAUUGGCCAGCGACGGGGUUGCAGUAGAUUGGCCAGCGACGGGGUUGUAGUAGAUUGGCCAGUAGAUUGGCCAGCGACGGGGUUGUAGUAGAUUGGCCAGUAGAUUGGCCAGCGACAGGGUUGUAGUAGAUGGUAAUAAUGGUAUGGUAUGCCUACGUCACCUUACGGUACAUUUGUGCAUUGUUACUAUCAGUUUUAGCUGUUUUUUAAUUAUAGUACACUUGAAGAUGUUACAGGGAGUGCAGAUACACAUUAUAUGCUAUCAACAGACUGCACAGAGUUACAUUAUAUGCUAGCAACAGGCUGCACAGAGGUACAUUCUCUAUAAAUCACUAAUGCAUAAAAUAAUGAAUACCAUGUUAAUAUAUUAUCUCUCCAAUGAUAAUGUAAGGAAAGCCAACAAUGCCAUGAAAAUAAUGCCAAUAUAACUUGAGGUUAUUUUUAAAAAACUAUAAAGCCUUUAUGAUACCAGUAUGACACUUCAUAGCAGAGAUGAGAUAGCCUUUAUGAUACCAGUAUGACACUUCAUAGCAGAGAUGAGAUAGCCUUUAUGAUACCAGUAUGACACUUCAUAGCAGACAGUAACUGAUGAGGCAUGUAGGUUAAUGAAGGCUAAACCGGAGUCAUUCUACACAGCAAGAGUCUCACCUGUAAUACACAUGACUAUAUUAGCUACUGAAAACAGAUUACAACCAAUCAGGUAACAGAUGACUGUCCCAAUUUACUGGCAUUUAAUAUGUGCAAUAAAUAAGAAAUAAAUUAAUCUACGACCCGUAAAAGUAAAACAUGACACUGAUUUUAUGAAAUCAAAACAUUUGAUCCAUGUUUCAUAAAAUCCCUUCAAAUGAAUUAUAUAUUCACUCCCUUUGAAAUGUAAAUUAAACUGCAGUAAAAUAAUACCAACUUAAUACACACAUCUGACAACUUUCUCUCCCUUUAGAUCAUGUGUCAAACUCAAGGUUGUUUGAAUUGUUUAUUUAUUUUUAUUCUGCGGGGGGGGGUGAAGACCGAAUACGGCCUUCUGGGAAAAGGAGUUUGACACCCCUGCUGUAGAUAGUUAAGAGUAAAAGGAAUAGUUGUAUGUCCAACAACACCGUCUACACAACGACACUGUCGUGAACUACGGGACAACGGACAGGAAAUAACUCAGUCACUUUUACAUUGAUGUUGGACCUGGAAACUAUAAUGGGUCUGAUUCAGACCUGAGGUAAAUAGACUCAACAUGGAUAUAAAACAUGGACCUAAGUACAAAUAUUGUUGAUUUAAGUCCAUGUUAAAGUCAACUUAUGUCAAGUCUAAAUAGGGCCUAAUGUGCAUUGACCAUCUUAAAUAAAUGAUGAAACAGUAUGAUGGGUAGCAGGCAGACAGACGGUAAGAUGGGUAACAGGCAGCAUCACCCUCAGCAGACAGACAGUAAGAUGGGUAACAGGCAACAUCACCCUCGGCAGACAGACAGUAAGAUGGGUAACAGGCAGCAUCACCCUCAGCAGACAGACAGUAAGAUGGGUAACAGGCAGCAUCACCCUCAGCAGACAGACAGUAUGAUGGGUAGCAGGCAGCAUCACCCUCGGCAGACAGACAGUAAGAUGGGUAGCAGGCAGCAUCACCCUCAGCAGACUGGUUAGUAUGAUGGGUAACAGGCAGCAUCACCCUUGGCAGACAGACAGUAAGAUGGGUAGCAGGCAGCAUCACCCUCAGCAGACUGGUUAGUAUGAUGGGUAGCAGGCAGCAUCACCCUCAGCAGACUGGUUAGUAUGAUGGGUAGCAGGCAGCAUCACCCUCAGCAGACAGUGUAGUAGUGUAGCAGGCAGCAUCACCCUCAGCAGACAGUGGUUAGUAGUGUAGCAGGCAGCAUCACCCUCAGCAGACAGUGUAGUAGUGUAGCAGGCAGCAUCACCCUCAGCAGACAGUGGUUAGUAGUGUAGCAGGCAGCAUCACCCUCAGCAGACAGUGUAGUAGUGUAGCAGGCAGCAUCACCCUCAGCAGACAGUGUAGUAGUGUAGCAGGCAGCAUCACCCUCAGCAGACAGUGUAGUAGUGUAGCAGGCAG
ensembl:lncRNA